CUGUAGCUGUCAGCUAGCUCUAGGAGGUAGUUACUACUGUAGCUGUCAGCUAGCUCUAGGAGGUAGUUACUACUGUAGCUGUCAGCUAGCUCUAGGAGGUAGUUACUACUGUAGCUGUCAGCUAGCUCUAGGAGGUAGUUACUACUGUAGCUGUCAGCUAGCUCUAGGAGGUAGUUACUACUGUAGCUGUCAGCUAGCUCUAGGAGGUAGUUACUACUGUAGCUGUCAGCUAGCUCUAGGAGGUAGUUACUACUGUAGCUGUCAGCUAGCUCUAGGAGGUAGUUACUACUGUAGCUGUCAGCUAGCUCUAGGAGGUAGUUACUACUGUAGCUGUCAGCUAGCUCUAGGAGGUAGUUACUACUGUAGCUGUCAGCUAGCUCUAGGAGGUAGUUACUACUGUAGCUGUCAGCUAGCUCUAGGAGGUAGUUACUACUGUAGCUGUCAGCUAGCUCUAGGAGGUAGUUACUACUGUAGCUGUCAGCUAGCUCUAGGAGGUAGUUACUACUGUAGCUGUCAGCUAGCUCUAGGAGGUAGAGGAGUUACUACUGUAGCUGUCAGCUAGCUCUAGGAGGUAGUUACUA